rnacentral:rRNA from 1 species
GAUGAACGCUGGCGGCGCGCCUAACACAUGCAAGUCGAACGGCACCCACCUCCGGGUGGAAGCGAGUGGCGAACGGCUGAGUAACACGUGGAGAACCUGCCCCCUCCCCCGGGAUAGCCGCCCGAAAGGACGGGUAAUACCGGAUACCCCGGGGUGCCGCAUGGCACCCCGGCUAAAGCCCCGACGGGAGGGGAUGGCUCCGCGGCCCAUCAGGUAGACGGCGGGGUGACGGCCCACCGUGCCUACAACGGGUAGCCGGGUUGAGAGACCGACCGGCCAGAUUGGGACUGAGACACGGCCCAGACUCCUACGGGAGGCAGCAGUGGGGAAUCUUGCGCAAUGGGGGGAACCCUGACGCAGCGACGCCGCGUGCGGGACGGAGGCCUUCGGGUCGUAAACCGCUUUCAGCAGGGAAGAGUCAAGACUGUACCUGCAGAAGAAGCCCCGGCUAACUACGUGCCAGCCGCCGCCGUAA